rnacentral:hammerhead_ribozyme from 1 species
AUCCAGUUGACCAGUUUCAAAUAAAACGAAACGCACGUACUGGAU